UAGGGAAUAUUGCACAAUGGGCGAAAGCCUGAUGCAGCAACGCCGCGUGCACGAUGAAGGCCUUCGGGUCGUAAAGUGCUUUUCGGGGAGAUGAGAAAGGACAGUAUCCCCGGAAUAAGGAUCGGCUAACUACGUGCCAGCAGCCGCGGUAACACGUAGGAUCCGAGCGUUAUCCGAAUUUACUGGGCGUAAAGCGCGUGCAGGCGGUUCGGUAAGUUGGAUGUGAAAUCUCCUGGCUCAACUGGGAGAGGACGUUCAAUACUGUCGGACUAGAGGAUGGUAGAGGGAGGUGGAAUUCCCGGUGUAGUGGUGAAAUGCGUAGAUAUCGGGAGGAACACCAGUGGCGAAGGCGGCCUCCUGGGCCAUUCCUGACGCUCAGACGCGAAGGCUAGGGUAGCGAACGGG
rnacentral:rRNA from 1 species